rnacentral:siRNA from 1 species
CACUCAUGUUGGAUUGAUUUUGA